GACGAACGCUGUCGGCGUGCUUAACACAGGCAAGUCGGACGGAGUGGCGAACGGGUGAGUAAUACGUGAGUAACCUGCCCUCCUUUUUGGGAUAAGCCUUGGAAACGGGGUCUAAUACCGAAUAAAGGGGGAUGGGCUCGCGGCCUAUCAGCUUGUUGGUGGGGUAGGGGCCUAGCCAGGCGACGAAGGGGAGCCGGCCUGAGAGGGCGACCGGCCACAUUGGGACUGAGAUACGGGCCAAAGUCCGACGGGAGGCAGCAGUGGGGAAUAUUGCGCAAUGGGGGAAACCCUGACGCAGCAACGCCGCGUGGAGGAUGACACUUUUCGGAGCGUAAACUCCUUUUAUCAGGAAAGCGGUACCUGAUGAAUAAGCACCGGCUAACUCCGUGCCAGCCGCCGCGGUAAUUC
rnacentral:rRNA from 1 species